UCUCUCAUUAAAACGAGCUGAGGGUUGAGGGGAAUGUUGUCUGGUUCGAGACCAUUCAUGUGAAAGAAGAUAAAAUCAGCAUCAGAUGGGUGAUUUCGGACCAGGCUUCAUUCCCCCCAACUCGGAAGAAUUUCGUGCUGCCAUGAUCAUCCGAUGACCUCUGGCUAACAGAAAUACACAGACGAUGGUUAAUUAAGACAUGCAUGGAACUCAAAGGCAAGUGAUGAGGCGUAAGUCUGCCGGAAGAAGAUUCGAGUUUGUGUUGCUGCAAAGCUGCCAGAAGGAGAGUGAGAAGGAAUAAGUAGGACCUUUCACUUUAUCGUUACAUAUGAGAGAGAGAGAGAGAGAGACCCCAUUAAAGGUGAGCUUUGAAUUUAGCCUCCCUUUCCCAGUUUCCCCCAUGAGACUGCAAUAAUAGCAUCUCUCCUUAGUCCAUACCAAACUUUUAAUGUGGAUCGAUGUGAUACUACCCAAUACCCAUGUGGGUUAGAUCUACAAGAGGAAACUUACACUGCAAUUUGAGUCAGAUACUAAGACUAUGUUUGGUUAGCUUUAAUGCUCAUUCUUCAUCAUUCUUACCCUUGGAUCAAAAUUCAAGAAUGAGCGAAGUUUGCCAUGGACGAACAGAAGUUUUUCUUUUKCUGAAGAGCGACUUCUUUUCAUGGCACUAAUUAAUGAGAAUGAAGUUUUUUUUUUUGCUGAAGAAUGACUUCUUGUAUCUGAUUGGUUACAAUUCUCAUUCUUAUUCUUUAUAAUUCUAUCUUGACCAAACAAAUGAGAUCAUAUUCUAUUUAAUAAAAUUAAAAUGGGUUUAU